AAGUGAUGUGAUUUUUGCAUCCCCAAACAUAUUAGUAGCUGCUAAAUAGAGAAGUAAUCAGAUCUGAUGAUGAUAAAAGGGCUGUUUUCUGCAUGCUACAAUAGUGUCAUGAUCCUGGCAUGCUAAAUAGUACAUCUGCAAAAAUCCUCCUAAUUAAGGCAAGAUUUGCCACAGAGGGAAGAAGCGAUACAUUAUUUGGUGUGUAUGUUUUUGUUCCUAUCGGAAAGGAUAGAGUGGACUCAGAAUUCCCACAGGUACAAAGGGAGAGAAAGGACUCUGUGAGGUUCUGCCCCAUUUGGGUCGGCAGUAUCUGGGCCUCUCAGGAAGAGGGGAGAAUUGUUUGGCUUCAGGAAUGCUGUUAGCGAAGUUUUGAGCACAUCCAGAGGAAAGCUGAGGAUACUUGAGUCCCACUGAAUUGAGCGGUGGGACUAACACUGCUCAGUACUUUCUCUUCAAGAGAUGAAGUUGCUGCAGAAUUGAGUUGAAACACAUUUGGAACUUAGUCUUGAACUUGCAAAUCGCGUUGACAUGGAGAUUAUUGGAGGUAUGAGCUCUUUUGUAUACAACGUCCUGAAAAUACUUUUGCCCUCUUAUGUGGUGUAAAAAGACUUUCUACAUUCUACUUACGCUGCUGGUGUACUGUAGCAACAGGGAACAGCAUACAACCCUACAGUAUUCACCAAGUAAUAGAGAGUCAUAUGCAGUGUUUCUGGGAUGGGGCGUCAAAAUUCUGGCAGCUGCGAGGGAAUACAAUACUUGAAAACCCCUGCAGGAGAAACUUGUCUACUUUCUUAAACAUAUUAGCUGAAUGAGUUUAUAAAACAGGGAUAGCAUCUUCUGUUACUCGUAAAACAGGAGCAAAGUCUUAAUGCAGUUGGAAAUGAUUUAGAGUGAGUUUUCCUUGCCAAAUUCCAAAUUACUGUAUUCUUGUCAGCAUAUUUGUCAUUGGUUCACAGAAACAUUGGUGGGCUAUCUUCUGCUAAGGUCUACUUCUACAGAGGGCUGUGCUCCUGGUGUGAGGUACUUGGUGCUCUCGGACUAGUUUGAGGAGAAGCAGAGGCUGUAUAGUUGUCUGUAUGGAGCAUAACUGAGAUGGAAACUGUUGGUGUCACGACUAUAAACCACACCAGCUGGGUUCUUGCCUUAGCCUGCACCAGAAUGAACAGGUUUGGAACUGACUAACCAAAUGUCUUUUCCUUUUUGGUAUUUACAGUUUGACAUUAAUAAUGUUACAACACUG
rnacentral:lncRNA from 1 species